UACGAAGGGUGCAAACGUUGUUCGGAAUUACUGGGCGUAAAGCGCACGUAGGCGGAUUUGUAAGUCAGGGGUGAAAUCCCGGGGCUCAACCUCGGAACUGCCUUUGAUACUGCAAAUCUCGAGUCCGGAAGAGGUGAGUGGAAUUCCUAGUGUAGAGGUGAAAUUCGUAGAUAUUAGGAAGAACACCAGUGGCGAAGGCGGCUCACUGGUCCGGUACUGACGCUGAGGUGCGAAAGCGUGGGGAGCAAACAGG
rnacentral:rRNA from 1 species